AUGAGGUUCUCCGCUCAGCUGCUGGGGCUGCUUCUGCUCUGCAUCCCUGCUUCCCGGGGAGCUAUUGUGAUGACUCAGACCCCAGCCUCCCUGCUCAUCAUCCCAGGAGAGCCGGCCACCAUCUCCUGCAAGGCCAGUGAGAGUGUCGUACACGAUAAUGGAAAUACCUACUUGCAUUGGUACCAGCAGAAGCCAGGCCAGACUAUUAGGUGCCUGAUCUAUGGUGUCUCCAAAAGGGCCCCUGGGGUGCCUGAGAGGUUCAGUGGCAGUGGGUCAGUGACAGAUUUCACUCCGAAAAUCAGCAAGGUGGAGGCUGAGGAUGCUGCAGUGUAUUACUGUCAGCAAGGAGAGAACGUGCCCCCUACAUAUGGCUCUGGCACCAAGUUGGAGAUCAAACGAUCUAAUGCCCAACCAUCAGUCUCCAUCUUCCCGCCAUCUUCGGAUCAGCUGCAGACAGGAAGCGCCUCCAUGGUGUGCUUGUUAAAUAAGUUCUACCCCAGAGAGGUCGAGGUGAAGUGGAAGGCAGAUGGCGUCCUUCAGACAGGCGACAUCAAGAACAGCUACACGGAGCAGGACAACAAGGACAGCACCUACAGUCUCAGUAGUGUGCUGACAUUACCUAUAAGCACUUACAACAGCCAUAAUGCCUACUCCUGCGAGGUCACGCACAAGACGCUGUCCUCCCCCCACGUGGAGAGCUUCCGUAAGAACGAGUGUUAGGGCGAGAGAGGAUGGCUGAGGCACCGAUGGCUGGUCCUCAGGCCUGGUCUCACUCUCUCCCUCCCUUAAGCCUAGCCCUUGCCCCUAAGACACCUAGCCUGAUUUCAGUCUCCCAGUCAGCCCCUUCACACUGUACCCUCUUCCACCACUCCUUGGAUCUCUUCCUACCAAUAUUUGUGGAAAAAGAAAACGAAUAAAAAUGG